rnacentral:rRNA from 1 species
AGUGAACGCUGGCGGCGUGCCUAACACAUGCAAGUCGAACGAUGAUGGAGGAGCUUGCUCUUCCUGAUUAGUGGCGCACGGGUGAGUAAUGCAUAGAUAAUGUGCCCCUUAGUUCGGGAUAGCCACUGGAAACGGUGAUUAAUACCGGAUACUCCUUCUUACUAUAAGGUAAGUCGGGAAAGUUUUUCGCUAAGGGAUCAGUCUAUGUUCCAUCAGGUAGUUGGUGAGGUAAUGGCUCACCAAGCCUAUGACGGAUAUCUGGUUUGAGAGGAUGAUCAGACACACUGGAACUGAGACACGGUCCAGACUCCUACGGGUGGCUG